AGGGUAUAGCUCAAGUGGUAGAGCACGUGCUUAGCAUGCAUGAGGUCCUGGGCUCAAUCCCCAGCAGCUCUU
rnacentral:tRNA from 1 species